UUACGGCCAUAUCACGUUGAAACACCGGGCCCCAUACGACCACCGAAGUUAAACAACAUCGAGUCUGGUCAGUACCUAAAUGGAUAACCGCUUGGGAAUAUCAAGUGUU